rnacentral:rRNA from 1 species
GAUGAACGCUGGCGGCGUGCCUAACACAUGCAAGUCGAGCGAAGCGCUUAAAUUAGAUUUCUUCGGAAUGACGAUUUUUGUGACUGAGCGGCGGACGGGUGAGUAACGCGUGGGUAACCUGCCUCAUACAGGGGGAUAACAGUUAGAAAUGACUGCUAAUACCGCAUAAGACCCCAGCUUCGCAUGAAGCGGUGGUAAAAACUCCGGUGGUAUGAGAUGGACCCGCGUCUGAUUAGCUAGUUGGUAAGGUAACGGCUUACCAAGGCGACGAUCAGUAGCCGACCUGAGAGGGUGACCGGCCACAUUGGGACUGAGACACGGCCCAGACUCCUACGGGAGGCAGCAGUGGGGAAUAUUGCACAAUGGGGGAAACCCUGAUGCAGCGACGCCGCGUGAAGGAUGAAGUAUUUCGGUAUGUAAACUUCUAUCAGCAGGGAAGAAAGUGACGGUACCUGACUAAGAAGCCCCGGCUAACUACGU